GUGGGAACGCGGCCGCGGACCUGGUACCCCAGAGCAGCGAGCGGGUGGGGAGCAGCCGGGGCGAGAAUGAGCGCAAUCUUGCUAACCCCUGCGGAGGGAGCGCGCGGGCGCCAACGCGGGCGCGCGGGGGCGGGCCCUGGACCUGGACCUUGGGUUUCGGCCCUCCUCCGCGCCCCGCGGUCUCGCGGGCGAAGUUUCAGUCCUGAGUGUAAAGAAUAACCCCAAGCGCGUGGCUAAGUGCGAGCAGGCGCGUGUGACGUCGGGAGGCGCCGCGGCUCCUCGGCCGCCCCACUCGGUGGUCCCCUGUCUGGAUCCAAACUGCUGACUGGCUGACCCGAGUGGUCACAUUUGCCCUCUGGGGCUUUUGAAAACCUUAAAUCAAAAUUGCUUUUGAAUCUGACAACUCCUGAGGCUACUUUCGCGGCCUCGGGGCUGUUUCAUAUAAGGACGCGAGUUUUCCUGAUCAGGUCUGUCGGCCACGUUACGAUUUCCAAUUUGCGAUCCAUCAGUUACUUCCAUUGGGUCUUCAGCCCCCAGGGACUGUGGAUCCUAGACCCCGCGGAGAAGCCCGUGGACUGGAGCUGUGUCAGCUCUGAUGGAACAAAAACGGAGGCACAGAGAGGUCAAUUGAUUGGUCUAAUGACACAGAUCUAGCAAGUGGUGGAACCAGGACUGAAUCCAGGUGUGUGUCCGGAAUUGGUGGGUUCUUGGUCUCACUGACUUCAAGAAUGAAGCCGCGGACCCUUGCGGAACUGUGAAGACUAGAGUGACCUUGGAGAUCUCAUCUGGAAGAUGGUAGAACUGCUAUCAGCCUGGCUUCCCAAAUGACCUCCUGGAUCACAGCUACCCAUGGCCUGAAAUGUUGACCUUGGAGUUGUUGCAUAGGAAAGAAAUAAACUUCUUUGUUCUUUGAGCCACAUAGUUAUCACAUAUCUUCUUAAAGCCACUUACCCACUUGUUCUAUCUCAUUCAGCUCUGAAAUUCUGUUUAAUUUCUAGAGUCAAAACAUUCAUUUGUUUCUUCUUUAUUUAACAAGAAUCAAUUACUUAUUUUAUGGAAGCCACUAUUCCAAAGAGAAGAAUCAUAAAAACAUUAGCCUUAUGGAUCUUUUGUCCUGGGAACAACACAGAGUGGAGACUACUGGAAUUUUUAAUAAAGUUCCUUUCCUGGGCAGUGCCAGUCCAGACCUAAUUUCCAGACUUAGUUAAGAUUAGACCAGUGUGCUGAAGAAUCAAAACAUCUAGAUAUUUUCCUUGCUCCAUUCUGCUUACAGCCCCACAAAAACUACUCACCCCACAGGGUUUCUUGCUUGAGAUUCCAGACAAUUCCUGUAUGUUUUAUUAGAAUACACUCUGUGUUUCAUCCAACUAGGAAGCCUUUGGCUCCGACUUAAAGCAUUAAGAACGGACCACUUUGGUAUGGAAAAUUAUCAGUUUUGGGGGAAAAGCCCCUGUUUCUCUGAUCUGUGCUCUGAAUUUGGCAGCUUUGUAGGCUUUCUCAAAGAGCCGCAACUGUGAACCAUGUCAUGUUGUCAUUAUCUCUGAUAUGCUCUGUGCAUUGGAAAUCCUGUGUGAGACUGGCAGGGGACAGAGGGAAUGAAGAAAUCACAUUCAUCAGAACAAGCUGCUCAACUUCCUUAAGUAAGGAGUUUGUCUAACAUCCAGUGGUUUCCUCUGACAGAGUGUGUACUUUCUUAACAUACGGACAAGAUUAGUACAUAGCCAGAAUGACUGUCUGCAGGUCCUAGGCUGCUUUUCAGAGGCAGCUUUAAUCUUCCUAAUUGAAUAUUUAGCUUUUCUAGGCCUGCACAAAAUGUAAAUCACAAUGUUUACAAUCUGUGAAAUAAUAGGAGAGUACAUAAUGUCAUUGCAAUAUUUUGUAAUCACUGUUAAAUGACUAAAAUCUAUUAAACUCAAUCAUUUUAAAUUAAACUUCUAAACUUCCCCA
rnacentral:lncRNA from 1 species